AUUGUUGAUAGGAAAUCAUUAUUAUUUUUCUUCUUCGUCAGUCUCUAAUCAUAUUUUCAUUUUUUAUGAAUAAAUCUUUGGCUUAAGAUUCCACGUAUGUAUCUACCUAAUGAUGAAAAGAAAUAAAAUAUGAGCUAUACGUUGAUCUAUAAUUAUGAUUAGGGAAAUUGUAAGAAAAAAAAAAGAAAAGAAAAAAAGAAAAAGAAAAAAAAGAAAACAAUCAUUUAUAUUAAGACUUUUCGAUACGACUUUCAUUGCCAUGCGCAGAGGAAAGGGGUAAUAUAGGGAGAGAAUGGGAAAGAAAAGGGGAGGGGAUUGCAUUUUAUUUGGAACGAUCGCAAUCGCGUCACAUGCCUUUAGAAGAUAUACAUAGAACUAGGAAGAUGCCGGUGAAUCAUUGUCGUCGGAGAUUUGGCCGGAGUCCCGGGGUCCAAACUAGGCUCGUACCGAUCAAAGUGACCACUAAAAUUAGAUAUCCCUUGAGUUAGCGCGACGGCGACGACCGGUGCAUUGGCGGAAUUUAAUCCAAAACACAUGACCAUAUGACAACAAUAUGAAAUCAAAGAUAAAAAUAUUUCAUGGGAACUACGCCGAGCUACGGAAAGGUUCAUCUUUGUAAACAAAAACAAAAAGGUCGACGCCAUUGUGGGGUUUUCCGAGGCCGCCAACCGGUGCAGGAAUAGCGUGGCACGUAAAUAGUCUUACAAGUAUUUUUAAAUAUCAAAAACAUCUGCUUUGGCUUCUGUCUCAUCGUCUUCGUGAUGUAACGCACGCGCUCGUACGAUACAUCAAAAUACCAUUGAAAUUAAGAAACACAAUUUUCUCUUUUUUCCUUUCUUUCCUUCUUUUUUUCUUCUACGAAUAUUCAAACGAAAAAAAAAAACAAAAAAAAAGGAGCAGGAUAAAAAUUGAAAAGAGAACUUUCAUGACGGAACUAUUAUCGAAAUUAACAGUUAUUUUGAACGAUCGUACGGAUAAUGGAAUAAAAAGAAUAGACAAAAGAAAGAGGUAAAAUGAAAGAUUAAGUAACGAAGAACUCUUCGAGCAACAUUUUGUCACAAUCUAGAAUUGUCUAUUACCUACAAGAGGAUGAUGCGUGUAAAAAGAACGACGUAGUACAAUCGUGGCUGAGGCAUGACGCUACUAUGUGGGAAUUCCAAGAAACUGAAAAAGUUUGCUAAACAUUUCCCGAUGAAGUCUAUUGACUUUUGAACGGUACCGACUAUUUUUUGUGCACUAUAUGUCAGGUUUGAAUAGAGAGAGAAAGAGAGAUACAGAGAGAGAAAGAGAGAUAAAGAGAGAUAGGAAUCACAAAGAGGUAUCGUAAAAAAUGCUCACGAGAAAACAAACGUGUGGGUUGGAUGAAGAAGUUGGACGAGAAGGGAGAACGUACUCGACAAUGGGAAAGUCUAGUGACUAAACUGUGAAGUGUGAUGACUUUGAGAAACCGUAUAUUUCUCAUGGAACAUUCUUUUCAUUUUUAUUUAUUUAUUUUUUUUUUUUUAAUCGAACGCCUCCGAUUUACGAUGAAUAAUAAAAUUCCAAUACGAUUGAGGAAUAUUAGAUAUUAUUCUUAUAUAACAUUAAAGUUUAAUUAUUAUUCACCCCGCACAUCAAGUUACCGCAAAAGUAUGAUCCGAAUGUGUGCGAACGCGCAAUAUAAUGAUGCAAAUGAAAUAAACAGAAACUCGUAAACAAGUCGUAAAAACAAUUGUCAUAUAUUCGUCACAAUUUUUCCGUAGAUCGUAAUUUGGUUAAUACAUAUCCGCGUCGAUACGCCGUCACGGUCUUUAGGGAUUUCCCCAAGCGAUUGGAACAUACUGUAUUGAUUGUGACGUAUACAAAAAAAAAUAAAAGAAAAAGAAAAAACAGACGUUUCAAGAUCAGUAUCAGCUCGUGACACAAUUGAUAAUCGAAAUGUUAUCUACUAAAUCAGGCCUAAUUUCAAAGAUAUAUCGAAUAGUACGAUAACUUUAACUUUUACAAGCAUAUAUCAUAUAUAAUAUAUUUUCGUGUGUGUGUGUGUGUGUGUGUGUGUGUGUGUGUGUGUGUGUGUGUGCACGUGCGUAUGUGUCAUCAUCUAGGAAUUUUAUCGUAAAUCCCUUAUAAUAUGAUCAAAAGAAAUGGUUUUUCGAACAAGAAUUCAAUUUAAAUCAAUUAAAAUUUUCCUAAGAGUUUAAUAUCGAAAUAUAAUGGAAUUUCCUGACCAUUUUUGUGGUAUGAUCUUGUAAGGUAUGCGCGCGCGCGCACGCACGUAUGCAAGAGAGAGAGAGAGAGAGAGAGAGAGAGAGAGAGAGAGAGAGAGAGAGAGAGAGAAAGACUCCAGAUGGUACAUACAUUCGUCGAUGAAAUCAUGGGAAAUCCACGAUUAUCCACGAGUAUAUAAUCGACAAAGGCAACGAAGGAUUCCUGAGACCAUUUAAAACGUACAAUUUACGAAGGAUUAUAAAUGUUUCAUUCUUUUAAUGCGAUUUCUAUGUCCAUUUAGCAAAGUUUUUUCUUUAUAUAUAUAUAAAAUAAAUAAACAAUAUGCUAAGCGUACAAUAGUGUAUUACUGUUAGAAGAUUAUUUGGAAUAAAUAUAUUAAUAAAAGUGAAGAAUAAACAUACAUAUGUAAUGUGUUAGGAUACGAUGCUGUCGAAUUUGGCUAAGUGAAUAAAUCUCAAAUUUAGGAA